rnacentral:rRNA from 1 species
AANCCGAUAUAAUGCAGUCGAGCGAUGGAUUAAAGAGCUUGCUCUUAUGAAGUUAGCGGCGGACGGGUGAGUAACACGUGGGUAACCUGCCCAUAAGACUGGGAUAACUCCGGGAAACCGGGGCUAAUACCGGAUAACAUUUUGAACCGCAUGGUUCAAAAUUGAAAGGCGGCUUCGGCUGUCACUUAUGGAUGGACCCGCGUCGCAUUAGCUAGUUGGUGAGGUAACGGCUCACCAAGGCAACGAUGCGUACCCGACCUGAGAGGGUGAUCGGCCACACUGGGACUGAGACACGGCCCAGACUCCUACGGGAGGCAGCAGUAGGGAAUCUUCCGCAAUGGACGAAAGUCUGACGGAACAACGCCGCGUGAGUGAUGAAGGCUUUCGGGUCGUAAAACUCUGUUGUUAGGGAAGAACAAGUGCUAGUUGAAUAAGCUGGCACCUUGACGGUACCUAACCAAAAAGCCGCGGCUAACUACGUGCCAGCAGCCGCGGUAAUACGUAGGUGGCAAGCGUUAUCCGGAAUUAUUGGGCGUAAAGCGCGCGCAGGUGGUUUCUUAAUUCUGAUGUGAAAGCCCACGGCUCAACCGUGGAGGGUCAUUGGAAACUGGGAAACUUGAGUGCAAAAGAGGAAAAUGGAAUUCCAUGUGUAGCGGUGAAAUGCGUAGAGAUAUGGAAGAACACCAUUGGCGAAAGGCGACUUUCUGGUCUGUACUGACCCUGAGGCGCUAAACGUGGGGAGCAAACAGGAUUAAAUACCCUGGUAUUCCACCCCUAAAAAAUAAGUGCUAAUGUUAGAGGUUUCCUCCCCUUUAUGCUGAAGUAACCAUUUAACACUCCGCCCGGGGGAGUACGGCCGCGAGGGUUGAAACUCAAAAGAAAUUAAAAGGCGGCCCGCCCCACUCUGUUGCAGCAUUGUGUUUAAUUAAAAGCACGCAGAAAAACAUUACCAAGGGCGUGGACGUCCU